rnacentral:rRNA from 1 species
GAUGAACGCUGGCGGCGUGCUUAACACAUGCAAGUCGAGCGAGUGAGUUCUUCGGAACGAUCUAGCGGCGGACGGGUGAGUAACACGUGGGCAACCUGCCUCAUAGAGGGGAAUAGCCUCCCGAAAGGGAGAUUAAUACCGCAUAACAUCGUUGAAGGGCAUCCUUCGAUGAUCAAAGGAGUAAUCCGCUAUGAGAUGGGCCCGCGGCGCAUUAGCUAGUUGGUGAGGUAACGGCUCACCAAGGCGACGAUGCGUAGCCGACCUGAGAGGGUGAUCGGCCACAUUGGGACUGAGACACGGCCCAGACUCCUACGGGAGGCAGCAGUGGGGAGUAUUGCACAAUGGGGGAAACCCUGAUGCAGCAACGCCGCGUGAGUGAUGACGGCCUUCGGGUUGUAAAGCUCUGUCUUUGGGGACGAUAAUGACGGUACCCAAGGAGGAAGUCACGGCUAACUACGUGCCAGCAGCCGCCGUAA